GAUGCACGCUGGCGGCGUGCCUAAUACAUGCAAGUCGAGCGAAGCGGGGACGGGUGAGUAACACGUGGAUAACCUCCUAUAAGACUGGGAUAACUUCGGGAAACCGGAGCUAAACCGGAUACUUAUACAUAGAUCCGCGCCGCAUUAGCUAGUUGGUAAGGUAACGGCUUACCAAGGCAACGAUGCGUAGCCGACCUGAGAGGGUGAUCGGCAACACUGGCACUGAGACACGGUCCAGACUCCUACGUGAGGCAGCAGUAGGGAAGCUUCCGCAAUGGGCUAAAGCCUGACGGAGCAACGCCGCGUGAGUGAUGAAGGUCUGCGGAUCGUAAAACUCUGUUAUUAGGGAAGCGGUAACGAAUCAUAAAGCCACGGCUAACUACGUGCCAGCCGCCGCGGUAAUAC
rnacentral:rRNA from 1 species